CCGUCGUGGAGAUCGCACCGAUACUUCGUCGUCCCGUUAAUCUCAGAUGGAAAAAAUGCAAAGCUAUCAAGCAGCCAUGAUGUCAUCAGAGCUACGCGAAUGUAUUACUCCGCAUAAAAAAUGACGCCAUAUUUAAAAUCUGUCAAGUGUAUAUGUUCCAACGUACUGCGUUAUCUCGUUUAAUUCAGAUUUCGGAGCAUUGGGAGAGUCCAGCAGAAAUACAUAUUCUCAUUCAAACAAGUGUGUUUACCCUUUUUUAUCUUCAUAUUCAUCGAGGAAUUUCUCGAGGUGAAAAGAGAAGAAAGACAGCCAAAACAAAACGUAAACAGCUGAGCACGGAACGUUAGACACUCUCAAGGAUAAACAGUAUGAGAUCAUCAUUCCUCUCCCUUCCUUCAACGAGUAAAGAUCUAACGAACGUGACGUGUAUUAAACUAUUUAUUGAUUUUAUUUCUAAUCUC
rnacentral:lncRNA from 1 species